GUGAGUAGAGCCAAAAUCAAGGAGGCAGGCAGCAGUGUGGGGCUGCAAACCCCAAUACAUUCACAUGGAAAUGCGUUUCCUUUCAGUAAAAACCAUUCCAACUGAUGAAAAGAACCUUCAUGCAGCUACCUAUCAUAUAGGCACGAGCUUCAAAAUGACAAAUGUCCUGGAUUUUUUGAAAAAAUGCAACCAUUUGGAACAAGAUAUGUUGACAACUAGUGGUUCUGUGGAUAAUCCAUGUUGCUUGUUCUUUUUGGGAAGAGGACUAACAACAUUUUUGCUGAGAAAGUUUAAUUUGAUUGACAUCAAAACUCACUCUAAUGAUGAUGAGAAUCCACACCGAGAAGCUCUCCACGGAAGACCCUGUAUUCAACUCUCAGAAUCUGAGUGUCAGAGAGAACACAACACAGGCCUGAGACGGGCCAGGGCUGAAACCCGAGCCCUGAGUCACAGAUCUGCACACUUACAUCGAGCAGAGUCGAUGGCAUAACUAUAAACCCUCAAGGACAGCAAAACCCACUCCAGUUUCAGCCUUACCUCUGAAAUGUAUCCAUCACUGGAGAAUGAGUGCAGCAUGACUAAUGGUGAUUAGGAGGACACAUGGGAUGAUGGAAAAAGAACUGAGCUUGGAAUCAGAAGGCAACUGCUCCUGUUUCAGUGCUAACCCUUACUGACUGGGUG
rnacentral:lncRNA from 1 species